rnacentral:rRNA from 1 species
AGCGAACGCUGGCGGCAGGCCUAACACAUGCAAGUCGAACGAACCUUUCGGGGUUAGUGGCGGACGGGUGAGUAACACGUGGGAACGUGCCUUUAGGUUCGGAAUAACUCAGGGAAACUUGUGCUAAUACCGAAUGUGCCCUUCGGGGGAAAGAUUUAUCGCCUUUAGAGCGGCCCGCGUCUGAUUAGCUAGUUGGUUGAGGUAAUGGCUCACCAAGGCGACGAUCAGUAGCUGGUCUGAGAGGAUGAUCAGCCACAUUGGGACUGAGGCACGGCCCAAACUCCUACGGGAGGCAGCAGGGGGGAAUCUUGCGCAAUGGGCGAAAGCCUGACGCAGCCAGGCCGCGUGAAUGAUGAAGGUCUUAGGAUUGUAAAAUUCUUUCACCGGGGACGAUAAUGACGGUACCCGGAGAAGAAGCCCCGGCUAACUUCGUG